rnacentral:rRNA from 1 species
GAUGAACGCUGGCGGCGUGCCUAAUACAUGCAAGUCGAGCGAACAGACGAGGAGCUUGCUCCUCUGACGUUAUCGGCGGACGGGUGAGUAACACGUGGCUAACCUAUCUAUAAGACUGGGCUAACUUCGGGAAACCGGAGCUAAUACCGGAUAAUAUAUUGAACCGCAUGGUUCAAUAGUGAAAGACGGUUUUGCUGUCACUUAUAGAUGGAUCCGCGCCGCAUUAGCUAGUUGGUAAGGUAACGGCUUACGAAGACAACGAUGCGUAGCCGACCUGAGAGGGUGAUCGGCCACACUGGAACUGAGACACGGUUCAGACUCCUACGGGAGGCAGCAGUAGGGGAGGGUACGAAAGGGGCGAAAGCGUGAGGGAGCAACGGCGCGUGAGUGAUGAAGGUGUUCGGAUUGGAAAACUCUGUUAUUAGGGAAGAACAAAUGGGUAAGUAACUAUGAACGUCUUGACGGUACCGAAACAGAAAGCCACGGCUAACUACGUG